CUAAAUAACUCAAUCCGAUUCCAUCUACAGCUCUUACAGCCAAUGAGAAUAUGGCUGUUCGGGCAAGCUAGCCAAUGGGAUAGAUCCAUGAUUUGAUUCGUCCCCGCACGUGCAGCUCGGUGACGGUGACUUGUCACUCGAUUGCAUUGGUCAUCAACCGUCUUUUUUACAUGACCACGGAAUCAAAAACAUCAACAACAGCAAAUGAGUGGCGUGUUACGAUCGAAAACACAGUCGUCAUGAGCAAGAGGAAGCAAGAGGGUUGCAGAGACAUUCGGCAAUUUUUUGCCUCGUCUCAGAAAAGAAGCAAAUCGGACCUUGAUGCUGUGACAACGGACAAGUCUUCUUCCUCUGUCCUUUUCCCCUGCAUCUGUUCAGUAUGUUCAGUGUUCUUAAAUCAUUUUAUUAGUUACUGUUCUUAUUGUGUUCUUGUUAGUGUGAUGUUUGAAUAAACUUGCCUGUUGCAAUGUUGGUAUAAUGUUUGUAUAAUUACUGUUAUACAACUGUUACUGUUUCAAUGUGACCC
ensembl:lncRNA